rnacentral:lncRNA from 1 species
GCUGCUGCUAGCUGAGGGAGGGCACGCGGUCUCUGUGCCCAGGCAGCUGCCGUGAGCUCACGCCCUGAAAUAGCCCCGGGGGCCCCAGCCGCAGCUGCCGCUGGGCCCGCCUGUCACUCAGAGGAAGCGCUGAGCCCCCGGCCCAAGGGUCUUGUAGCCUCUGCUGACCAAGGUUUUUACAGCCCGCAGUGAGCCAGUUUUGCUUCCGACGGCUGGCUGGGGAAGAAGGAGGCGGGGCCGGGAUCCGAGGGGGCGGACCCGAGGGGUGGGCGCAAAGGGCGGCCGCGCCCCAAGACCGGGCAGUGCGUCUGCCCCUACAAGGUUUGGGCCUUGGUGGGGGAGGGUCCUGGUCCCCCGGCUCCGCCCGGCUUCUCCCCGCCUUUUAGGCGCCCGCGCUGCUGGGACAUCACAGUCCCUCUUGAUCCUCCUAACCUGUCCCGGGUGCAUCAGUGCUCUCGGCUAGCCCGGUCUACCUACUCUUCACCGCUCGCCCGCCGGCCCACUCCCCACCGCAGCCAUGGACGCCAUCAAGAAGAAGAUGCAGAUGCUGAAACUGGACAAGGAGAAUGCCAUCGACCGCGCAGAGCAGGCCGAAGCCGACAAGAAGCAAGCUGAACUGGAGGAAGAGCAGCAGGCCCUCCAGAAGAAACUGAAGGGGACAGAGGAUGAGGUGGAAAAGUAUUCCGAGUCUGUGAAGGAUGCCCAGGAGAAACUGGAGCAGGCCGAGAAGAAGGCCACCGAUGCUGAAGCAGAUGUGGCUUCUCUGAAUCGACGCAUUCAGCUCGUAGAGGAGGAGUUGGAUCGGGCACAGGAGCGCCUGGCUACAGCCUUGCAAAAGCUGGAGGAGGCUGAGAAAGCCGCUGAUGAGAGCGAGAGAGGAAUGAAGGUCAUUGAGAACCGGGCCAUGAAGGAUGAGGAGAAGAUGGAGCUGCAGGAGAUGCAGCUGAAAGAAGCCAAGCACAUCGCUGAGGACUCAGACCGCAAAUACGAGGAGGUGGCCAGGAAGCUGGUGAUCCUGGAAGGAGAGCUGGAGCGCUCUGAAGAGAGAGCCGAGGUGGCUGAGAGUAAAUGUGGGGACCUAGAGGAGGAGCUGAAAAUUGUUACCAACAACUUGAAAUCUCUGGAAGCCCAAGCGGACAAGUAUUCCACCAAAGAGGACAAAUACGAAGAAGAGAUCAAACUUCUGGAGGAGAAGCUGAAGGAGGCUGAGACCCGAGCAGAGUUUGCUGAAAGAUCUGUGGCAAAGUUGGAGAAAACCAUCGAUGACCUGGAAGAUGAAGUCUAUGCACAGAAGAUGAAGUACAAGGCCAUCAGCGAGGAGCUGGACAACGCGCUCAAUGACAUCACUUCCCUCUGAGUUCCCACUGUGGCCAUCGCAGGCCCCUUUCUUCUUUUUCCAUUCUCUCUGAGGGGAGGGGGCAGCCAGGAGGAGCACAAACUGGCCAUGUUGCACAGCCAGUCUGAGGGCAGCCUGAGGAACACGCCUGCCACCCCUGCCACCCACUCUGGCACUGGCUUUCUCCUGUCAUCUAUCCACCGUCCACUGACUUCCACCCCUCCUCUACUUAAUAAACUCUGAACUUGGUCUCCAUGCUGUUUUCCUCCAGAGAGCUCUUCCUCACUCUCGAAGCACUGGCUCACUCCUGAGGCCCUGGCUUUUACUGCCACCCUCAAUCUGUGCUGCUCAGCGCUUCGCAGUCAGCCCUCCUCCCUCAGCACACGGUGGCUCACACAGACCCUUCUGCAUGGCACUCCCAGCCUGUCGCUUUGAUAAUCACUGCAUGUAGCUGUACACACCUUCCCUCCCCUCUCAGCAGUCCAUCACAAGCCUUUGCACACCAACCUGGGGUUCCAGGAUCUGAGGGAAUGGCUGAAAGGGAAGUGGGGUGCUGGGUCAGGGGAGGGGGCCAGAAGGUCAGGAAAGGUCUGGAGUGAAGGUCGUUAAAAUAUUGGAUCGCUUCAAGAGGGGCUUUCACA